rnacentral:misc_RNA from 1 species
UUUCCGUAGGUGAACCUGCGGAAGGAUCAUUAUUGUAUAACCGAGGUGCGAGGGCUGUCGCUGACCCGAAAGGUCGUGCACGCACGAGUGCCCUCACACACAUCCAUCUCACCCCUAUGUGCACCACCGCGUGGGUCACCCUUUGGCUUGUUCGGAGGGGGGCUUACGUUUUCACACAAACUUUGUAUGCAGUGUAGAAUGUAUUUUUUGUUUUUGCGAUCACGCAAUCAAUACAACUUUCAACAACGGAUCUCUUGGCUCUC